AGGAAACGGUAGGAAACACACACGCACUGCCUGAAGCAACCGAUUAAAAAAAAAAAGCGGGCGGGGGAGUGGGGUGAAGAGCCAGCUUCCGAGCCAGGCCUGCCGUCCGCCCCUGGUUUUGCGAGCGAAUGUCAGGGCAGGAUGGAGGUGCCGAACUCCCCGCCAGCUCCUGAGUCCUGAAGGUCGCCUUCUCCCCCACCGUACUCCCCAGGACUCCGAGGCCCGGCGCAAUCGCGCGUUGCGGAGGGCGGCGGAGGAGCGGCACCAGGCGGGCGGGCGGGAGGCGGAGGCGCUGCGUCUGCGGACCCAGCUCGAGGAGCUACGACGGGAACGCGCGCGGCUGCAGCGCCGGCUUAAGCGCCUGGAGCCCUGCGCGCGCCUGCUGGAGCAAGCGCUGGAGCUGCUGCCCGGGUUCCAAGAGGUCCCGGAGCUGGUGGCGCGCUUCGACGGCCUGGCUGAGACGCAGGCGGCGCUGAGGCUCAGGGAGCGCGAGCGGCUCGCGGAGCUGGAGGCGGCGCGAGCGCGGCUGCAACAGCUGCGGGACGCCUGGCCGGACGAGGUGCUCUCACAGGGCCAGCGGCGGGCACAGCUGCAGGAGCGCCUGGAGGCUGCCAGGGAGCGUACGCUGCAGUGGCUAGAGCACGUGAAGCUGUUCAUGCAGGACCUCUCCGCCAUGCUGGCCGGCCUGGGUCAGGCUGAGCCUGCGGCCCCUGCCUCCUAGCCCUGACCCAGGCUGACGCAGCUGCUGCCCUUCUGUGGCCAUACAGUGCUCCUUUUCACGGAUGAUGGCUCCUGCAGGGAGUGCCCCUAGUGCCCAGCACAGGGCCAGGCACACAGUGGUGCACGGGAACGUCUUCUGAUGCCCACCCUAAGGCCAAUCAAGGAGCCAAGGGGCUGGGUCCUGGUCCUCACAUCCUCUUCCGCAUCUUGCCCUUCUUGGAGCGGGCACCCCGGCCGAAGGCGCCCUGCUGCAGCUCCUGGACGCGGCGGCGGUUGCGGGCAGAGAGCUGCUUGAGGCCACCACGCUGCAGGAAGCGCAGCUUCUGGGCCCGGCGCCGCUGCUUCAGGAUCUGCUGCUUGGUCUUGAGUUCCGGGCGGACACGGCCUGCAGGGGUGCCUGGGGCGUGGGGCCGGGA
rnacentral:sRNA from 1 species